rnacentral:rRNA from 1 species
GACGAACGCUGGCGGCGUGCUUAAUACAUGCAAGUCGAACGGAAAGGCCCUGCUUUUGUGGGGUGCUCGAGUGGCGAACGGGUGAGUAACACGCGAGUAACCUGUCCUUGACUUUGGGAUAACUUCAGGAAACUGGGGUUAAUACCGGAUAGGAGCUCCUGCUGCAUGGUGGGGGAUGGAAAGUGUCGGCGGUUGGGGAUGGACUCGCGGCUUAUCAGCUUGUUGGUGGGGUAGUGGCUUACCAAGGCUAUGACGGGUAGCCGGCCUGAGAGGGUGACCGGCCACAUUGGGAUUGAGAUGCGGCCCAGACUGCUACGGGAGGCAGCGGUGAGGAAUAUUGCACGAUGGGCGGAAGCCUGAUGCAACAACGCCGCGUGGUAGAUGACGGCCGUCGGGGUGUAAACCGCUUUCGCCUGUGACGAAGCGUGAGUGACGGUAAUGGGUAAGGAAGCACCGGCUAACUACGUG